AGGUAUAAGAAAGCAUCAUUAGUAGAGAAAUAGCAACACAAUAUCUGAAUAUGGGACAAGCGUAGAGUAAAAAUAUUUUAGAACUUAGGAGAACGAAACUACACUCAAAGUAAUUAGAAAAAAAAGAGCACCCAAUAAACAACAACAUAUUGAUUAUUAUUGCCUAAUGGAGAUAAAAUUGAAGUAGCUGAUAAUUGGGUGAUAACUAUAGUUGAUACAUUGUUUGACGAUCAAAUCAAGAAUUUUAGUACAAAACUAUUGAUGAAAGCGAGGGAC
rnacentral:lncRNA from 1 species